GAUGAACGCUGGCGGCGUGCUUAACACAUGCAAGUCGAACGAAGCACUUUAACCUGAUUCUUCGGAUGAAGGUUUUUGUGACUGAGUGGCGGACGGGUGAGUAACGCGUGGGUAACCUGCCUCAUACAGGGGGAUAACAGUUAGAAAUGACUGCUAAUACCGCAUAAGACCACGGAGCCGCAUGGCUCAGUGGGAAAAACUCCGGUGGUAUGAGAUGGACCCGCGUCUGAUUAGGUAGUUGGUGGGGUAACGGCCUACCAAGCCAACGAUCAGUAGCCGACCUGAGAGGGUGACCGGCCACAUUGGGACUGAGACACGGCCCAAACUCCUACGGGAGGCAGCAGUGGGGAAUAUUGCACAAUGGGGGAAACCCUGAUGCAGCGACGCCGCGUGAGCGAAGAAGUAUUUCGGUAUGUAAAGCUCUAUCAGCAGGGAAGAAAAUGACGGUACCUGACUAAGAAGCACCGGCUAAAUACGUGCCAGCAGCCGCGGUAAUACGUAUGGUGCAAGCGUUAUCCGGAUUUACUGGGUGUAAAGGGAGCGUAGACGGCUGUGUAAGUCUGAAGUGAAAGCCCGGGGCUCAACCCCGGGACUGCUUUGGAAACUAUGCAGCUAGAGUGUCGGAGAGGUAAGUGGAAUUCCCAGUGUAGCGGUGAAAUGCGUAGAUAUUGGGAGGAACACCAGUGGCGAAGGCGGCUUACUGGACGAUGACUGACGUUGAGGCUCGAAAGCGUGGGGAGCAAACAGGAUUAGAUACCCUGGUAGUCCACGCCGUAACCGAUGACUACUAGGUGUCGGGGAGCAAAGCUCUUCGGUGCCGCAGCAAACGCAAUAAGUAGUCCACCUGGGGAGUACGUUCGCAAGAAUGAAACUCAAAGGAAUUGACGGGGACCCGCACAAGCGGGUGGAGCAUGUGGUUUAAUUCGAAGCAACGCGAAGAACCUUACCUGCUCUUGACAUCCCGGUGACCGGCAUGUAAUGAUGCCUUUUCUUCGGAACACCGGUGACAGGUGGUGCAUGGUUGUCGUCAGCUCGUGUCGUGAGAUGUUGGGUUAAGUCCCGCAACGAGCGCAACCCCCAUCUUCAGUAGCCAGCAAUUUGGAUGGGCACUCUGGAGAGACUGCCAGGGAUAACCUGGAGGAAGGUGGGGAUGACGUCAAAUCAUCAUGCCCCUUACGAGCAGGGCUACACACGUGCUACAAUGGCGUAAACAAAGGGAAGCGAGCCUGCGAGGGUAAGCAAAUCUCAAAAAUAACGUCUCAGUUCGGAUUGUAGUCUGCAACUCGACUACAUGAAGCUGGAAUCGUUAGUAAUCGCGAAUCAGCAUGUCGCGGUGAAUACGUUCCCGGGUCU
rnacentral:rRNA from 1 species